UGUGUCCUAAGUAUUUGUGUCAACACAGUUGCAUCAUACAAUAAAAAACAAGGAAAAAAAGCCUAGAAUGUCCCUUCACAUAUGAGAACCACUUUCUCCUCAACUUUACUUGUUUCCUAGAUAUUUGUGUCUGGGUGGAUAAGCUCUACCUUCUCCAAGGCAUUAUCUAGAGAAGAAACAGACCCAGAAUUUUCAUUUCAUCAAUGGAAUCCCCUCAUAAUUUUCUUAGCAUCACCAAGUUCAGUGGUGAGCUUGUUCUUCUUAUCUAUGACAUACUUUAUGCACGUUUAUCUCUUUUCGAAGGUUCCUUGAAGCUAAGAACACUGUCUCUAGCAACGAAACUGAAGGUCAACAGAGUGCUUUUGUCAUAUAACUUCCUAAAGUUUAAAUUGUAUCACUUAUUAUGUCUUGAUGACUUAUGUCUCAUCAAGGCGAUUUACUCUCUCCAUACCCUUUUAUUCUAUGUGACAAUGUUCUCUCUAAUUUUUUACACAGAAAGGUAACAACCAAUAGAGUUAUUGGUCUCAAAAUUGCUAGACAAACCCCUUAGAUCUCACACCUUUUUUUCUUCUGAUGAUGAUAACCUUCUCUUCACAAGAGCUAUCCCACAAGAGGCUGAGUCAACCCCCUAAAUAUCAUUUUCACCUGUUAGAAGGCUUCUGGAGUCUGAACAAAUGAUUAAUAUGGACAAGUAUGAAAUGUUGUUUGGUUAAAAUGUGUCAAAUGAAGGAGUUAUGACAUGCAAUAAUAUGGGAGUAAACACUCUAGACACUCAUUCUAGAUACAACUACGGCUGCUUCUUCUUUUUAAGGUGGGUUUGUUUUAAGAAUAAGGAGAAUUAAAGAACAUAAGCAUACAGAUUUUAAAGAUUACCAAAUUAAGGAAAAGAGUCACUCUCUCCAUUGAGCCAUUCUCCUCAAAGUCGCGCUUGAAAAACUGUGCAGUCUCCAUGUUAACUCCCAUAGCUGCAAAAACAAUGGCGAAAUUGUCGUCUUCUCCUCCUCCCUGCAUAAAUAAAGAUUUGUAGGAAAAAUCAUCUUAUUCGUAUUACAUGAAGUAUAAAAGUAAUAAGAUUUAGUAAAUAAUUAUGCAAAAAUGGCCUUCUUAUUCUAGGCCAAUGAGAAGCAAUAUGUGUAUCUAUAAGUAAUAUAAGAAAUACUUCAAAUUAUUCAUGUCAGUUUCUUCAUAACAGUUGUUGGAAAUGGUGAUAAUGAUUAAUAUGUCAAUGGGAAUAAUAGGUGCUAAUAACAGAUAUGUACUUUGAGUUUGUUUUAUGUUUUCGUCUAGCAUUGUGUUUGUUUUAUGAUUUGACUAUUUUUGCAUAGGUGAUUUUACUUUCAAUCUUCCUUCAGCGCUGUCACUUCUAUUGGAUGGUUUUACUUUUAAUCUUCCUUCAGCGCUAUCACUUCUAUCAGAUGAUACCUUAGCCCCUUUCUUAUUCUCUUUCCUAUCUUAUAAUAUUUCUUUUCCGACCCAUCAUCAGUGUCCUCAGUAAGGUAAAUCCAAAUGAAACACAAAUCACAAUCAAUUUCCAACAGUCACAGUUCAAGAGCAUUUAAGAUAUUUGAUAAAGUUCCUUUAGAUCUAUACCUCAAGAAGAUUAUCAGACUUCUCUAAUCGCUUGACUAAGCCAGCCUGACGACAAAUCUGUGCAGCAAUUUCAUUAUGGGGGAGACCGGCAGCUGAAAAUAGAGGGAUCUUUUGACCUCUAGCAAUAGAAUUCAUGACAUCAAUUGUAGAUAUUCCUGUCUGUAUCAUCUCCUCGG